rnacentral:rRNA from 1 species
UACAGAGGGUGCGAGCGUUGUUCGGAAUUACUGGGCGUAAAGCGUGCGCAGGCGGCCAUGCAAGACAGAUGUGAAAUCCCCGGGCUCAACCUGGGAACUGCAUUUGUGACUGCAUGGCUAGAGUACGGCAGAGGGGGAUGGAAUUCCGCGUGUAGCAGUGAAAUGCGUAGAUAUGCGGAGGAACACCGAUGGCGAAGGCAAUCCCCUGGGCCUGUACUGACGCUCAUGCACGAAAGCGUGGGGAGCAAACAGG